CCUACGGGAGGCUGCAGUGGGGAAUAUUGCACAAUGGGGGAAACCCUGAUGCAGCGACGCCGCGUGAAGGAAGAAGUAUUUCGGUAUGUAAACUUCUAUCAGCAGGGAAGAAAGUGACGGUACCUGACUAAGAAGCCCCGGCUAACUACGUGCCAGCAGCCGCGGUAAUACGUAGGGGGCAAGCGUUAUCCGGAUUUACUGGGUGGAAGGGGAGCGUAGGCGGCGGUGCAAGUCAGAAGUGAAAGCCCGGGGCUCAACCCCGGGACUGCUUUUGAAACUGGAUGGCUAGAUUGCAGGAGAGGCGAGUGGAAGUCCUAGUGGAGCGGUGAAAUGCGUAGAUAUUAGGAGGAACACCAGUGGCGAAGGCGGCUUGCUGGACUGUAAAUGACGCUGAGGCUCGAAAGCGUGGGGAGCAAACAGGAUUAGAUACCCGGGUAGUC
rnacentral:rRNA from 1 species